rnacentral:rRNA from 1 species
AUUGAACGCUGGCGGCAGGCCUAACACAUGCAAGUCGAACGGUAACAGGAAGAAGCUUGCUUCUUUGCUGACGAGUGGCGGACGGGUGAGUAAUGUCUGGGAAACUGCCUGAUGGAGGGGGAUAACUACUGGAAACGGUAGCUAAUACCGCAUAACGUCGCAAGACCAAAGAGGGGGACCUUCGGGCCUCUUGCCAUCGGAUGUGCCCAGAUGGGAUUAGCUAGUAGGUGGGGUAACGGCUCACCUAGGCGACGAUCCCUAGCUGGUCUGAGAGGAUGACCAGCCACACUGGAACUGAGACACGGUCCAGACUCCUACGGGAGGCAGCAGUGGGGAAUAUUGCACAAAGGGCGCAAGCCUGAUGCAGCCAUGCCGCGGGUAUGAAGAAGGCCUUCGGGUUGUAAAGUACUUUCAGCGGGGAGGAAGGGAGUAAAGUUAAUACCUUUGCUCAUUGACGUUACCCGCAGAAGAAGCACCGGCUAACUCCGUG